UUGAUUUCAUGCGAAUUUAGUCAAUAGGACUUAUGUGAGAAAAUUCUAAAAUGUGAUAGGUCAAUGUGUGAGGACCUAUUAGUGCAUGUGGACAAAGGGGGGACUUGCAUGUCAAAUUCCCCCUACUAGUAGUGGCCGGCCAUGACAAGCAUGGUAGACCAAGUUUGAUGGCCAAGACAUGUCAUAGACAUGUUUUGUUGGUGCAUCAUGGGUGGAAAAAAAUAAAAUAAUAGGCAUGGAAAUUAAAUAAUGAAAAGGAGUAUGAUGAAUACACAAAAAAAAAGUGUGUAGUUGAUUCUUU
rnacentral:lncRNA from 1 species